rnacentral:rRNA from 1 species
AGCAGCCGCGGUAAUUCCAGCUCCAAUAGCGUAUAUUAAAGUUGUUGCAGUUAAAAAGCUCGUAGUUGAAUUUCGGAAUCUGUUCGUCGGUCGGGCUUCACUGUCCGUACUGGUGUGGUGGGUUCUUACCUUCUGAAUAACCAGCAUGCCAUUCACUUGGUGCGCUGGGGAAGCAGGACUAUUACCUUGAAAAAUUAGAGUGCUCAAAGCAGGCUAGUGCCUGAAUACAUUAGCAUGGAAUAAUAAAAUAGGACGGCAUGGUUCUAUUUUGUUGGUUUCUAGGAUCACCGUAAUGAUUAAUAGGGAUAGUUGGGGGCAUUAGUAUUCAAUUGCCAGAGGUGAAAUUCUUGGAUUUAUUGAAGACUAACUUCUGCGAAGGCAUUUGCCAAGGAUGUUUUCAUUAAUCAAGACGAAAGUUAGGGGAUCGAAGACGAUCAGAUACCGUCGUAG